GCUAGCUGUUCAGAGGUCAGGCGCUGGUCAGAACAUGAGGAAGGAGGAACACGGUGGCCAUAUCUGAAGUGAUCUAGUAAACAGGAGACAUUUCCUCCAGGAAGUCUGUAGUGGGUAAGACCCAGUUACUACCCUUGAGGAAAGGAAGGUGAUGGGAACUAGCAUCUAUUAUGCACUGUGUGCCAGACUUGAGUAAACACUUCCAAGUCCUGUUCCUUGACUCCUAUGAGGUUAGUAACUUUUAUCAUCGCCAUUUUAAAGGAAGGCUCAGAGGCACUCUGCAGUCACACAGCUGGAGGGGUGCAGUGAGACGCGGAGGCUCCAAGUCUCUUCUGGACUAGGCCUGGAUCUGCCACCUCUUCUUUCGGCUGUGGAUGGCCCUGGGAGACACGCCUGGCCUCAGAUGCCCCUUGACCCAACUGGAGGAAGGGUGGGGGGCCCAGCAGAAAAGCCUGCAGCCUCCCUGGGCACCGUUUCAAAGCUGAUGCUGCUCUCCCUGCUCUGGGUCUCAGCUCCUCCCCUCUUCUGCAUUGUUGACCAACAGCCUGGGUCUGACGCGGAAGCAGAAGAAUUCCCAUUCAACUGGGCCCCAGGGAUGGGGGGCCUCUCUGCCAGUAAGUGACACCCUCUGCUACUGAAAGGCCUCAUGUUCCUGCCCUGCCAAGCCUGGGGUGGCCACCACGUGACAGCACCAGGGACACGUGUCUUCUGGGACCGCUUGUGAGCUGGGUGGCUGGCAAGUUUGUUUCUCCAUGUCCCGCAGCAGGGGCAAGGGUGUGGGUGGUCAUAAUGCACCAGGGCUCUGGGCGGGCUGAGCAGAGUGCAGUUCCUGCUGCCAGCCCCGAUAUGGCACGGACAGCUGGAAAAACUGACCAUGUGGCUUGACUAUCUCAGAGGAUUGCUCCAUUUUUCCUCAGCAUAAUUUUUCCAUGAAUAAUCUUUAAAGCUCUUUAAGUGGCUGUUUCUUUAGCAGUUUUAUUGGAACAUAUGAGAACUGACAGUCUCUGUGGGGAACGAGAUAUCAUGUUGAAAAAAAAUCUGGUUUUCAUUACACUUCUUUCAAGAAAGCAACAGGCUGCCCAACAGACCUCUCAUUGAUUGGAAGAGAAAUGAGCCCAGAGCCUCCUAACAACAGCCUUGGAGUGGACAGGAUGAUGAACAGUGAUGCCAAAGACUCAGGAUCUGAAGGCAGACAGGCCUGGUCCACCACCUGUGUCUGCCAUUUGCAGGAUGAGUGACCUUGAGUAGGUCACCUCACACCUCUGAACCUGAAUUCUACAUCUGCAAAACAGGAAUGAUGACCCUGACUGACAGCCUCCCUGUGAGGAGUAAGCCAUACAGCAUCCCUCCCUCCUUCACGUGACAAACUUUUCCUGAGUCCUGACCUCGGGGGCAGGAGCUGGAGAUACUACACUGGAUUAGAAAGAUGAGUUUCCAGUCAAGUGUGGGAGAGAGAAGUAGCCAGGAUGUAGAACCUGACAAGGGAAGAGUUCAGGAACUUGCCCAGUUGAGCAGCCAGUGAACGGGACAGCCCUGAGCACGGUGCACGUGAGAACACAGAGGGGACCCCUGGAGGGCCUGAUGUCCAGAUUCCUAGGCCACGGGGAGCGCGGAGCAGCAGAUGCUGGGGGAGCCGCUGGUACUCGUGAGGAGCUGGGCCACAUCCAGGCAGGGUGUUGGCCAGAGGUUCUGGGGUGGCUCGUGAGUGACAGCAGUACUGGUAUGCUGGUGAGUGCCUCAGCAGGAGCUCCCUCUGUCCCCCUACCAACUCCCCGAUGUCUGGACGGCACCAGAGCCCGCCUGGGAGGCCACGAGCUAACACUCUCAAGAGGAAAACAGGGGGAUCAAACCAAUGACCCAAGGGCCUACAGCUAAGAACUGCUGGAGCCAGGCUCUGAACUGAGCUCUGCCUGACUCCAGAGGUGGUUUCUACCACCAGGCAAUACAACAGGGAGACACGCAGGUGUGUCAGAGAGCAGUCCUCACAGUGCGAGCACAGAAACCAGAGGCCAAGGCUGAAGAUUUUCCUGGACUCGCGGUGCUGCCCAGGAAUCUUCUGAGAAAACCUGUCAGUUGGUAAAGCCACGUGGAGGCGGGGCUAACAAAAUCUGGAAAUGUCUUCACCAGUUCCAAAGUACACACAAACAUUACUUGCCCUCUCUGGGGGUCAACGUUCUUUAUGAUUUUUUUCUCUCCAGGAAAAUAUUAGUUCAUUUAUAGAAACUAAACAUUACAUGUGGAGGGAAAAUGGAAAACGUGGCAUUCUUGGCCUUUUUUCUCCACAGACACAGAAACUGAGAAGGUUUCUCCAUUUCCUUUCUCACAGCCUAUUUGUUGGUGUGGAACUGCCUGUGAAGUCAUUCUGCAGGGGUGGAAAGUGGGGGCCAGCUCUCUGUGGGCAACAGGGACCAUCCCAGAGACAAAGGGCAGCCUCAGCCCACAGACCACUUCGGACUUGAAUCAAGGCCUCAAAGGGCGAGACCUGGGCCACUGUCAAUGUGAGGGCAGGUAGGCUGGGUAGAGGGGUAGAGGCGUGGGCGCUGCCUAGAAGAGGGCCAGAGAGACCGCCCGGCACAUUGGUCUUGCUCCCACUGCCUCCUUUCAGCUCCUCAGUGUACCCAUCCUUGCCCCUGGCAGCUUUUGCUGCCUGGUUCCCCGACUAAAAUGUGAGCUUUGUGGGGAAGGUUCUUGCCUUGCUGGGCACCUGGCUCACAGCAAGUCCUUGGCCUGGAAGUCUUGGGUGAAUGAAUGAAUGAACAUGUCUUAGGGCCUCUCCUUUGCAGGUGUGGGGGAUGUGCCUACUGGAAAGGGCACCGAGCUGAAGCCUAAACCCCCUCCUGAGGAGCCAGGGAAGCCUGCGUUCCUCCCAUUCCCGGGACUGCAAGAGGCACAUUCCUGUCCCUGAGUCUGGUCAGGCUCCUGCCACGCAGCUCAGUCUGGCUGCCAGGUCCAGAAAGGCCUCCCUGGAGCUGCCCCUCUGGCCCCACCCUUCCCAGGACCCCAGGCCACCCCACAGCUGCAGCAGCACCCACUCUCUGUCUUCUGAGGCUGCUAGUGGGAAGCUGGGACCCCCGAGUGUGUCUGAAACCUUCCAGGCACUCCUCGACCCUCUAGUGAUCAAUGAAAACCUUCACAUCCUGCUUCCAGGGCUGAAGCCAGGGAUUUGGAAAAUUGGUGGAAAACACUCCUAUGAGCUGGGGCUUGCUCUGCUGUGGAAAACUGCCAGCAUCAGCACUUCUCCCAAGGCUGUGCCGAGUCAGCAGUCAGCCCACUCUGGAGCUGCCUCUGAGGACCAGGUGCCUACAGGACCCUGUAAGGAGCUUGAAGAGUUGUGGCUGACGGAGGGAUUUCUGUCCUGGGCUCUAGGAAUUCUAGACUGGGCCCUUCCUCAAGGAGCUUUCAGUCUGGCGGAGCAGACAGACAUGGGCAAAUAAGCCCACAACUAACUGUGCCAUCACUGCAGAAGGAAGUGCCACGGAGGAGCAUGAGGGCCAGUUGCAGGAAGGAGCCAGGGCCAGCAUGUGCCUGUAAAAGCCAGAUAGUAAAUAGUUCACGCUCUGCAGGCCACAGGGUCUUUGUCCCAAGCACUCAACUCUGCCACUGCUGCAUGAAAACAGCCACAGGCGAUAUGUCAACCAAAGAGGGGUGGUUGUGCCCAUAUGAAAACAGAGGGUGGAUCUGUCCCACAGUUUGCCACAGCCUGGCUGUUAGACGGCCUGACCUGAUUGGGGGUGGGGGUGAUAGUGGGGAGAAGGCUUCCCCGAGGCAGUGAUAUUUAGCUAAAAGCUGCAGGCUGAGGCAAUGAUGGAGGCAGAAUCACAAUAUGACAAUUAUGAUAAUCACAUCACCAUGAUCAAGUUCCACCUAACACGUGUGUUCUAUGUUGCGCACUGUGCUAAUAACAACACUACCCUGUGAAGGAGGAAGAUUUUAUGCCCACUUUACAGAUAGAGACACUGAGGCUUGGCAGUAUGCUGAGUAGUCUGUUCACACAAUUCAGCUGCAUUUUUUGC
rnacentral:lncRNA from 1 species